UGCCAGCCUCCGCUGUACGCCUGGAUAUGCAAUCGCUAUUCGGAUUUAUUGGGCGUAAAGGGUCUGUAGGUUGUUGGUUAAGUCUAUGGUCAAAUUCCGAAGCUCAACUUCGGGGCGGCACUAGAAACUAAUCAACUUGAGUACGUUAGAGGCAGGGGGAAUUCCCAGUGUAGCGGUGAAAUGCGUAGAUAUUGGGAGGAACAUCAAUGGCGAAGGCACCCUGCUAGGCCGAUACUGACACUGAAAGACGAAAGCUAGGGGAGCAAAUGGGAUUAGAUA
rnacentral:rRNA from 1 species